GGGGCCUUCGGGUUACGGAGCGGCGAACGGGUGAGUAACACGUGAACAAUCUACCCUCUCAUUCCGGAUAAUUGGCUGAAAAGCCUUGUAAUACGGGUGGGGUUGCGGUUUUGGCAUCAUUACCGUAACGAACAGGCAACUGGUGCGAGGAGGAGUUCGCGGAUUAUCAGGUAGUUGGUGGGGUAACGGCCUACCAAGCCUACGACGAUUAGCUGGUCUGAGAGGAUGGUCAGCCACAUUGGAACUGAGAUACUGUCCAGACUCCUACGGGAGGCUGCAGUCGAGAAUCUUGGGCAAUGCACGAAAGUGUGACCCAGCGACGCCGCGUGAAGGAUGAAGGCCCUCUGGGUUGUAAACUUCUUUUACGGGAGAAGAAACAAUGACGGUAUCCCGUGAAUAAGCCACGGCUAACUACGUGCCAGCAGCCGC
rnacentral:rRNA from 1 species